rnacentral:misc_RNA from 1 species
UAAAAAAAAUUGGCAGUGAUAUCAUAUUACUAAAAUUUCAUGUCAAGUUCUUACUAGUUUCUUGAAAUGGAGAGCAAGUUCUUACUGGUUUCUUGAAAUGGAGAUAAGCAUGUGAUGACAUGAAAAAAAACUUAUUAUUAAUUUUGGUGCACCUUAUUACUAAGUAAUACACUAUUACACAGAAAUGCUUUGCAUGCACUUCUCAAUGAAAG